rnacentral:lncRNA from 1 species
UACAGACUAAGCUAUCAAAUUCAACAGUCCUUUAGUUCACUUCAGAUGUUCAAUACGUUGAGGAAAUCAAGGGAAUGGGGUGAAUUAAGAGCUGAUACACGUAUCAUAAAUUCCAAAACAACUAAAAUAUGUGAACGAACGAGGAAAAUUAUAAUAAGUACAAAUUAUUUCACAAAGCUGAAACAGAUCUCAUGCUUUAAACUCUCCCUUUCAACCCAUUUUCUUCCAACCUAUCUCACAUCCAUCAGAGUUACAGGGAAGUGUACCUGAAAUUUUGGGAAAACCAAAUAGGUAAAUGGGAGGAUCGGUAAUAGGAUAGCAACAUAUCAGUAUUCAACAGCAAAUCAACCCAGUAGUAGUUUGAAACAAAGAAAAAUUGUCCAACACCAAAUGGAACUCGAACCAAAGCAAACUCAAAAAAUCCAAUAACCUUUUAAUCCCCUAAGGUAGCAAAUGGAAUAGUGAUUGUGGGAUUUCAGUGGCCUUGGUUGUGCAGAAUUUUU